rnacentral:rRNA from 2 species
GGUGGUUCUGUAUGGAAGGGCCAUCGCUCAACGGAUAAAAGGUACUCCGGGGAUAACAGGCUGAUACCGCCCAAGAGUUCAUAUCGACGGCGGUGUUUGGCACCUCGAUGUCGGCUCAUCACAUCCUGGGGCUGAAGCCGGUCCCAAGGGUAUGGCUGUUCGCCAUUUAAAGUGGUACGCGAGCUGGGUUUAGAACGUCGUGAGACAGUUCGGUCCCUAUCUGCCGUGGACGUUGGAAGAUUGAGAGGGGUUGCUCCUAGUACGAGAGGACCGGAGUGAACGCACCACUGGUGUUCGGGUUGUCAUGCCAAUGGCAUUGCCCGGUAGCUAAGUGCGGAAGAGAUAACCGCUGAAAGCAUCUAAGCGGGAAACUUGCCUCGAGAUGAGUCUUCCCUGUCGCUUUAAGCGACCUAAAGGAACGUUUAAGACUAAGACGUUGAUAGGCUGGGUGUGUAAGCGUAGCGAUACGUUGAGCUAACCAGUACUAAUGAACCGUGAGGCUUAACCUGACAACACCGAAAGUGUUUUG